ACUAAGCGUACACGGUGGAUGCCCUGGCAGUCAGAGGCGAUGAAGGACGUGCUAAUCUGCGAUAAGCGUCGGUAAGGUGAUAUGAACCGUUAUAACCGGCGAUUUCCGAAUGGGGAAACCCAGUGUGAUUCGUCACACUAUCAUUAACUGAAUCCAUAGGUUAAUGAGGCGAACCGGGGGAACUGAAACAUCUAAGUACCCCGAGGAAAAGAAAUCAACCGAGAUUCCCCCAGUAGCGGCGAGCGAACGGGGAGCAGCCCAGAGCCUGAAUCAGUGUGUGUGUUAGUGGAAGCGUCUGGAAAGGCGCGCGAUACAGGGUGACAGCCCCGUACACAAAAAUGCACAUGCUGUGAGCUCGAUGAGUAGGGCGGGACACGUGGUAUCCUGUCUGAAUAUGGGGGGACCAUCCUCCAAGGCUAAAUACUCCUGACUGACCGAUAGUGAACCAGUACCGUGAGGGAAAGGCGAAAAGAACCCCGGCGAGGGGAGUGAAAAAGAACCUGAAACCGUGUACGUACAAGCAGUGGGAGCACGCUUAGGCGUGUGACUGCGUACCUUUUGUAUAAUGGGUCAGCGACUUAUAUUCUGUAGCAAGGUUAACCGAAUAGGGGAGCCGAAGGGAAACCGAGUCUUAACUGGGCGUUAAGUUGCAGGGUAUAGACCCGAAACCCGGUGAUCUAGCCAUGGGCAGGUUGAAGGUUGGGUAACACUAACUGGAGGACCGAACCGACUAAUGUUGAAAAAUUAGCGGAUGACUUGUGGCUGGGGGUGAAAGGCCAAUCAAACCGGGAGAUAGCUGGUUCUCCCCGAAAGCUAUUUAGGUAGCGCCUCGUGAAUUCAUCUCCGGGGGUAGAGCACUGUUUCGGCAAGGGGGUCAUCCCGACUUACCAACCCGAUGCAAACUGCGAAUACCGGAGAAUGUUAUCACGGGAGACACACGGCGGGUGCUAACGUCCGUCGUGAAGAGGGAAACAACCCAGACCGCCAGCUAAGGUCCCAAAGUCAUGGUUAAGUGGGAAACGAUGUGGGAAGGCCCAGACAGCCAGGAUGUUGGCUUAGAAGCAGCCAUCAUUUAAAGAAAGCGUAAUAGCUCACUGGUCGAGUCGGCCUGCGCGGAAGAUGUAACGGGGCUAAACCAUGCACCGAAGCUGCGGCAGCGACGCUGAUGCGUUGUUGGGUAGGGGAGCGUUCUGUAAGCCUGUGAAGGUGUACUGUGAGGUAUGCUGGAGGUAUCAGAAGUGCGAAUGCUGACAUAAGUAACGAUAAAGCGGGUGAAAAGCCCGCUCGCCGGAAGACCAAGGGUUCCUGUCCAACGUUAAUCGGGGCAGGGUGAGUCGACCCCUAAGGCGAGGCCGAAAGGCGUAGUCGAUGGGAAACAGGUUAAUAUUCCUGUACUUGGUGUUACUGCGAAGGGGGGACGGAGAAGGCUAUGUUGGCCGGGCGACGGUUGUCCCGGUUUAAGCGUGUAGGCUGGUUUUCCAGGCAAAUCCGGAAAAUCAAGGCUGAGGCGUGAUGACGAGGCACUACGGUGCUGAAGCAACAAAUGCCCUGCUUCCAGGAAAAGCCUCUAAGCAUCAGGUAACAUCAAAUCGUACCCCAAACCGACACAGGUGGUCAGGUAGAGAAUACCAAGGCGCUUGAGAGAACUCGGGUGAAGGAACUAGGCAAAAUGGUGCCGUAACUUCGGGAGAAGGCACGCUGAUAUGUAGGUGAAGUCCCUCGCGGAUGGAGCUGAAAUCAGUCGAAGAUACCAGCUGGCUGCAACUGUUUAUUAAAAACACAGCACUGUGCAAACACGAAAGUGGACGUAUACGGUGUGACGCCUGCCCGGUGCCGGAAGGUUAAUUGAUGGGGUCAGCGCAAGCGAAGCUCUUGAUCGAAGCCCCGGUAAACGGCGGCCGUAACUAUAACGGUCCUAAGGUAGCGAAAUUCCUUGUCGGGUAAGUUCCGACCUGCACGAAUGGCGUAAUGAUGGCCAGGCUGUCUCCACCCGAGACUCAGUGAAAUUGAACUCGCUGUGAAGAUGCAGUGUACCCGCGGCAAGACGGAAAGACCCCGUGAACCUUUACUAUAGCUUGACACUGAACAUUGAGCCUUGAUGUGUAGGAUAGGUGGGAGGCUUUGAAGUGUGGACGCCAGUCUGCAUGGAGCCGACCUUGAAAUACCACCCUUUAAUGUUUGAUGUUCUAACGUUGACCCGUAAUCCGGGUUGCGGACAGUGUCUGGUGGGUAGUUUGACUGGGGCGGUCUCCUCCUAAAGAGUAACGGAGGAGCACGAAGGUUGGCUAAUCCUGGUCGGACAUCAGGAGGUUAGUGCAAUGGCAUAAGCCAGCUUGACUGCGAGCGUGACGGCGCGAGCAGGUGCGAAAGCAGGUCAUAGUGAUCCGGUGGUUCUGAAUGGAAGGGCCAUCGCUCAACGGAUAAAAGGUACUCCGGGGAUAACAGGCUGAUACCGCCCAAGAGUUCAUAUCGACGGCGGUGUUUGGCACCUCGAUGUCGGCUCAUCACAUCCUGGGGCUGAAGUAGGUCCCAAGGGUAUGGCUGUUCGCCAUUUAAAGUGGUACGCGAGCUGGGUUUAGAACGUCGUGAGACAGUUCGGUCCCUAUCUGCCGUGGGCGCUGGAGAACUGAGGGGGGCUGCUCCUAGUACGAGAGGACCGGAGUGGACGCAUCACUGGUGUUCGGGUUGUCAUGCCAAUGGCACUGCCCGGUAGCUAAAUGCGGAAGAGAUAAGUGCUGAAAGCAUCUAAGCACGAAACUUGCCCCGAGAUGAGUUCUCCCUGACUCCUUGAGAGUCCUGAAGGAACGUUGAAGACGACGACGUUGAUAGGCCGGGUGUGUAAGCGCAGCGAUGCGUUGAGCUAACCGGUACUAAUGAACCGUGAGGCUUAACC
rnacentral:rRNA from 1 species